CCAUCUCUCAUCCUUCCCCCUUUCCUUUGAAAACUCUAGCCGCCAUGACAUUCUUCAUCUCUCUCCCCGUCAUCACGCCUAAAAAAUGAAAUAUGGCAAGUGUACGAUCCCUUUUCAGCAAUUUGCAAGGCCGAGAAGGGGAAACAAUAAAUGUUUCCACCUUCUCUCACCUAACGCCUCCCCAAACAAGGAGGCAACAAAGCUCUUCCAAGUCCAAAUCUCUUCAAAGGCUGCACAAAAAAGAGGUAAUUCUCCUUUCCCUUUUGUUUUUUCUGCAUUUUUAAGUUUAUUUAUUUUGUGUUAGUUUUGUUUACUGCUUUUAUAUGAUUUUUGUGUUGAUUAUGUAGUUUAAUAUCUCUAUACGUGUUAGAAUAGUCUGGUUCUGUGUGUGAGUUAUAUUUGUGCUCAGUUUGAUUUAGUUAAAAGGAAUAGGAUUAUGUGAACUAAUUUAACUGGUAAUUAAGCAUGCUAAUCAGAUCAAUAAUGCUCUUAUGUUUGAUAACUAAGCCUUUUUAAUAUGUUAAAUUAGUUUGGUUCAAUAUGGUUUAAAUAUGCUGUGUAGGUUAAACCUUGGCCUUAAUGGCAUGAUUAGUUCUAGUUAAGCAUGCUUUAUGAACCAGUUUGAUUCCACCCUAUUCAAAUAAUAAAGUAUGAUCCUUAUAUGUUGAUUCUGUGUUAUCAAGAGUGAUAUUAUAUGCUGCUUAUUAACUAAAUGUGGACCAGUUGAUCAUGUUUUAUGUGCUAUUUAUAGCUUAAGCUGUCUUAGAUAAGCAUGACUUUACUGUUGACUCAACUUGUGUGGUUAAGCAUGUUCUUUUAAGCCUGUGUCAUUUUAAAUUUAUGUCAAAUAUGUGUUGUGACCAUGAAUGUAUGCUUGCCCUGUUAAGAGACAGUUGAAUUGUCAUUUUACAAUAACUUCUAGGUGUGGUUUCAAAUCUGGCUGCUAAAUGAGGGAUUAGUUUAAGUUCUUGUAUGUCAUUUGCUUAAUGGAUGAUCUUGUUGUUGGUUUUAUUAAUCUGUCACCAUGACAAAUAUCCUCAUGCUAGGUAGAUGACACUGUAGGGAAAGACUAAGUAUGUGAAAUCAUGUUUGAAUCAUGUGUUUGACCCUGUUAAGUUGUCCCAUAGCCAAAACUGUUACCCUACCUUGUAAUAGCUUCUGUUUUUAUUUGGCAUUCGGAAGCAUCAUGUUUGGUCUUUAUUUAAGCUAAAUCAUUGUAUAGAAUGUCUGAGUAACCCUUGUGUCUUGUCUGAGAUUGGGAGUUUUGGUUUAUUUGACCAUGCUAUUGGCCUAUUAUUUACAUGACUUAGAAAUGCGCAACAUGUUAAUAUAAGCUAUCAUGUGGUUGCUUGUGUCCAGUUUCCAAUUCAAAAUGUGUUCAUUUAUCCUAUGUGAUCCAAGCAUGUGGUAGUAUUCUUUAAUGCCUCUGUCUAUGGUGGCUGUCUAUGAUCUUGUAUUCAUAACAUUGAUAGCAGCAUGGACUAUGGUCAUUUUACAUUAGUUCGAACCUGUUUGUACACUUAAUGGUACUGUGAAUCCCAUGUAGUGCUAUGUGAUCCUUCACUUUGGACUAAUAAGUAUGUUUAAUGAACUUGUUGUAUGAUCUAUCUACUUAAUGCAUGCUCAUAUCUUAAAAUAACUAUGAUGUGCUUGCUUAAAUGGAUCUGUGUAUGCAUAUAUGCUCAGAAACUUGCCUGGUGUAUUAUUCCUCUGUUCAAAACUUGUUGCUGUAUUUAACCUAGAAUAGGAAAUGUGUACAACCUUAAGUAUGUUCUCCUUUAAGAUCUGUCUUUGCUUAGCUAUUUGUUGUAUGAAAUUGAGUGAGUACACUUGUGUAAACAAACUAGAUUUAGUCACUUAUGCUUUAGUAUAAGAGAUUGGUAUAUCAGUGUAUGUACAUGGCAUAUUACCUCCUACUUGGUUGAUUGAUAUGUGAAUUUCUGCUAAUCUUUAGACCUGCUUUCUCCUUUGUUUUCUUAUUGGGCCUUUGCUAUAUGCUGGGUUUAAACCUUUACUGGGCCUCUGUUUUGUCUAAUAAAUCCAGUUUGUGUUUGGUUCAAUUGGCCCAUUUUCUUUGAAUGGUUUUGUUUGGACUUGUGAGUUGCUUGAUUAUUUCAUCUUAUUUGUUUGCACACUUGCCUGAUUUACUCAUUUACUCUUACUCAAUUAUAAGUCUUAUGUGUUUUUGGUUUCUUUUAUCAUUUUAUGUGUUUAUGUGAAAUCAUCCUCGGGCCUUUUGGGCCAUUCUUGCUGCAAGAAACCAGCUGGGCCUAAGGCCCAGUUUCCCUUCAUUUGAUCGAGUCCGAUGUAAUUAUGAAAGGGAAGCUAAUAUUAUUGAAGGUCCAAUCAUGGGUGAAAAUGAUGAAGGCCCAAUUAUGGGUAAAAAUAGUAACUGGUGGGCUUAGGUAGGCCCACUAGCCUAAACUCUUCUUUAUUUUUAUUCAUAUGUGUAAACUUGUAUUUGUAAAAAACACUCAUAAUUAUUGAAACCCUAAUGAAUGUUAGAAUUUAGGAGAUAAUUAGCUGAUUUAGGAAAGUCGCCCUAAAAAAUGGAUUUCUAAAACUCGGCUAAGCCAUUUCUAAGUCUAAAUCACAACUUUUCAAAAAGGAUUCGAUUUGUUCUAACUGAUCGUGUUAAAGUAUAAGAACAAAAAAUGGAUUUCGAUUAAGCUAAGUAAGCUUUUGUUUGAGUUGAAAUGAAAAGAACAUUUUUUUUAAAACGCUAAGUGACAGACUGCGUUGUGAAACUGUUUUAACUGGGAAAUGGACUUAAAAAACAAAAUGGACGAUGUUAUGUUAGACUUGGACUUAAACAUUUUCUGAAAAAGACACUGUAUUGUGCUUGGAAACCCACAUUAAACUUGGACUGAAAUAAAAUUGUUUUGGACUGCAUUUGGACCGAAAUUACUUGGAUUGGGUUAUGAUGGUGAAAUUAACUUGGACCUGGAAAUAUUAUUGACUUAUGGGCUUCAAUAACUAAAAUGGACCUAAUUCAAUGAACUUGUAUUUCAUAUGUAUAUAUAUAUAUAUAUAUAUAUAUAUAUAUAUAUAUAUAUAUAUAUAUAUAUAUAUAUAUGUAUGUAUGUAUGUAUAAAACAGAGAUAUACUCCAUAUUUUGUAUAUAUACGUAUAAUAAAACCCGUAGGUACUAAACCCAUUUUGUUAGGACUAGAAUAAUAGUGAAUCUAUUCGGGAGAAAUCUCGAGUCUAUCCUAGUCCGGCAACAAAGUGAGUUGAACACUUACACGGAUUUUCUAAACCAAAACCCCUAUUUAUAAGGGGACUUUUUUUGCCAAUUUUUUUCGAAAAUGAUGAUAUGAAUAAGAAUGAUAUUUUGCGGAAUAUUUGAACACUUUAAGCAAAUAAUUACAUAAAUCACACAUUGAAGCUCGUAGGUCAACCAUAUUCUACGGAUUCUUAAUACUAGAGUGCUUAAAACCUUUCCUAGGGGAUCACCAGAACCCUUACCUCGAACUAUGGUCUGAAAGACUUUUUCUUGUAUUUCAAAAACACUUUUAACCCGGUGUUUCUAAUUUUCCUUUAAAUAAGUCAGGUGGCAACUCUAAAAUACUAAAAUCCAGUUAGAGCACCAACAACCUGGUAGUAACUUUUAUGCCUUAAACCCGCGUAAAAGCGAACCGUAACAGUGGUAAUUAUAUAACUGAAUAUUAUGUGAGAUUUAAUUUCACUCUUUUCAUGUAACAUCUUCCUUGUUCAACUUUUCAAUAAAAUAUAAAGCUCAACUUAGAUAUCCACCACCUCCUAACAAAUAUAAAUGCACCCUCCAUCCAUUUCAGCUAUCGUUUUAGCUCAAAAUAAUUGUCACUUUAGGAAUUCAAGAUUAAAGUUGACAAUUGUUAUCAACCAUGCCCUUAACGUUAAAGAAGUAGUUCUUUUUAAUAUUGUUCAGUUCGUUUUUUUUAAUAAAUAGUAGUAAUUUAAUAAAUUAUACCUUGUAUUAUUUAGUAAACUGUACCUAAUAAAAAUUGAUUUUGUUGCAUAAGGAAAAGAUGAAGGAACUGGGGAGAAGAAAGAUUAAGGAGCUUUGGAACAACAAUUGAUUUUGCAGGCUCAACGACAUCUUCUGGAUAGAUAGAGAAAUGAGAGUGAUUUGGGUGUGGGUAAAAAAAUGGGUCGGGCCGGUUUAGGGUUAAAAUUUAACAAUUUGUUGCUACAUUUUAUGUAUUUACAUUUCGUAGCUAGUUUAGGGAAAUUCGCUAUAUUUAAGUUUAUUUGAAUACACUGUUCAGUUGUAUCAAACCUUAUUUGAUGUCACGUAUAUUUGAAUACAAGCAUCCUUAAUUUCUUUGAAAA